UUUCAAGACAUUUAUAGAUAAAAAUGACGAGAUAGUAAUAUUAAAUCCAUUGACGAUAAAGAGAAAAAAAGAUUCUGAGAUCGGAAUGAAGGCAUCAACAACCUAAAUACACUAGAUGCACACUGAACCAUCUUGUGUCUAAAGAGUUGGGGAUACAAGUCCAUGUCUGCUUGGUUGAAUUAAAUGAGGUCAGGAUUCCAACAAAAUUACGAUUGGAAAAGAAUAUUUAAAACUAACACUGACAAGUGACAGCUAAUUGGAAUUGCACACAUUAUCCUGUGGAAAGUUUGAUUUCUUGGUGGAGACCCAACCAUUUGUGAAGAGUUCAGAAGACUUCCAAGAUGACUGCUGUUUUUCGUGAAAUAAUUUCA